rnacentral:lncRNA from 1 species
CCCUUGAUUAUGACCCUCCACAAGGCAUAAUCUUGUGCUUGAAUAAAGAUCUUCAUUCUAGUCUUCCAAUAGGUAUAAUUUGUCCCAUUGAAGAGUGGAGGUCUAUUGGUUGCUUGCCCCUCAGCAGGAACAUUGUUGAAGGGUGUUGCCAUCUAGAUCUUUGGCCAAGACGGUUAGGUCUUCAAGAAAUACACAGAGCACCUGCUUUGAUACCACUUGUUGCCCAGAGAUGGUCACCCAAGAGGGGGGUGAAUUGGGUGU